GCUGGAGGUAUCAGAAGUGCGAAUGCUGACAUAAGUAACGAUAAAGCGGGUGAAAAGCCCGCUCGCCGGAAGACCAAGGGUUCCUGUCCAACGUUAAUCGGGGCAGGGUGAGUCGACCCCUAAGGCGAGGCCGAAAGGCGUAGUCGAUGGGAAACAGGUUAAUAUUCCUGUACUUGGUGUUACUGCGAAGGGGGGACGGAGAAGGCUAUGUUGGCCGGGCGACGGUUGUCCCGGUUUAAGCGUGUAGGCUGGUUUUCCAGGCAAAUCCGGAAAAUCAAGGCUGAGGCGUGAUGACGAGGCACUACGGUGCUGAAGCAACAAAUGCCCUGCUUCCAGGAAAAGCCUCUAAGCAUCAGGUAACAUCAAAUCGUACCCCAAACCGACACAGGUGGUCAGGUAGAGAAUACCAAGGCGCUUGAGAGAACUCGGGUGAAGGAACUAGGCAAAAUGGUGCCGUAACUUCGGGAGAAGGCACGCUGAUAUGUAGGUGAAGUCCCUCGCGGAUGGAGCUGAAAUCAGUCGAAGAUACCAGCUGGCUGCAACUGUUUAUUAAAAACACAGCACUGUGCAAACACGAAAGUGGACGUAUACGGUGUGACGCCUGCCCGGUGCCGGAAGGUUAAUUGAUGGGGU
rnacentral:rRNA from 1 species